rnacentral:rRNA from 1 species
GGUUUUUGGUUUUAAAUAGAAGAUCGAGCCUGCCCACUGAUUAAAGGGCUGCAGUAUUUUGACUGUACAAAGGUAGCAUAAUCAUUAGUUUUUUAAUUGGAGACUGGUAUGAAUGGUUUGACAAGGUCCGGCUGUCUUUGAGAUAUAGGAUGAAUUUUCUUUUGUGUGAAAAGGCAUAAAUAGAUUAGAAGGACGAGAAGACCCUAUUAAGCUUUAAUUUUAGAAUUAGAGAAAAAUGGAAUAUUUGACUGGGGCGGUAAAUAACAUAAAUUUUAUGGGAUUACUUAGUGAGUUGGGAUCCAAUAUAUUGAGAUAAGGAAAUAGCUACUAUAGGGAUAACAGCGUGAUAUUUUCUGAGAGUUCUUAUUGACGAAAAUGAUUGCGACCUCGAUGUUGGAUUAAGAAUACUAUCUGGUGAAGCUGCUGGAUAAGUGGGUUUGUUCAACCCUUAAAUUCUU